UUGGUGCUGUUACUCAUCAUGUUAUCAAUCAUGACGCUACCGUUCUUCUUCUUCGAAGACAGUUACACCUCGUUUCGUAUAAGGGUGCAUAUGAUUGACGUCUGUAGUAUAUUCCUUGAAAUAAUGCUUCAAACAUAUUUCUUACUGCUUGUACGAAGUGAGAUGGUGAAGCUUAACAGCAAUUGCGAAUUCAGAUUCGUGAAUAAUGCCGCCCAAGCCGAAUGUGUCAUGACGUAUCAAGAAAAUGGAAACGGAAAAGUUACGGCAGAAUUGAAGAAAGAGAACUAUGUUUGACUGAUAAGUGCUGGAGGUGACGGGGGGAGGAAGCGUGACAGCGCACUUUUGUAGAGCGACGUCUCUUUUCCACAACUGCAAUAAUAUUAUUAGCUUUUGAAUAUGAGCUCUUUAAACAGGACUGUUACUUUUGUGGGAGGAAGAUGCUACGCACAAAAUGUAGAGUGCUAUCUCGCCUCCGCAUUAUCAAUAAUCCUGCUUUAGAAGUUCAUAGUAAAGGCAAGGAAUACUUUGUUAACGUGCCUUCAUGGAAUCUAGAUUGGUUUCAGUGAAUAAUCUAGAUUUUUCUAAAAUAAACUUUUGACUUCCAUGUAUGUUAUGUGUUUCAAGAACUUAGUUAAAUAAAUUUUCUAUAUCCUUAUUGAAA